GUUUGUAAUUUGAAUAGAAAAAGAAAGGGUAACCAAAAAAAAACCUAAAAAAUGGGGCUCAUUUAUUUUUAUUCCAAAUGUUAGCUAUUUAACUAAACAAUUGAGAAGUCCCACAUCGAAGGAACACGGAGCAGGAACUUAACAAAGUGCUAUAAAUACAAGACAUUGCCCUACGUUUAAACAUACUUACCUGGACGGGAUCAAUGGGCGAUCAUCAAGGUCUAUGGUCUAGGUUGGUGACCUCCACUGCACAUAUCGGAGGGGUGCCCGCCUAAGGUUUGCUCAAGUGGCAGAGCCUAUGUCAUAAUUUGUGGUUGUGGGGGCCUGCGUUCGCGCGGCCCCUCCCAUUUUCCUAGUACCAAAUCUUCUUUUGUUCUUAAUACAUUUUUUUCAUUCUAAUUAUUUCUGAUGAUUCGAUGAUGAUUUCUCUGUCGCAGAGCUGGGUUGCUUUGAAAAUCAUUGAUCAAUCCAACACAAUCCUCAUAUGAGGAUUGUGUUGGAUCAAUGAUUUUGAGAAUAUGGAUUGGUUGAUAAAUGGUUCGAGCUACGAAUCGAUUGUCUUAGUCCCUGGGGUUGUCAAAUGGUUCUUCAUGUUCAAAAUCUCUCUGAAAUUGGGAGCUUCUUCCAAAUGAUAGUGACAACAUUUUCAACUUCAGAUAACAACUCGCUUUUCGUUUUUAAAAACUUGUUGAACGCGCCUGAAUGUUCUCGAGAGCAAAGACAGUCAGAUUUAAAGAAGAAGAAAAAGAAAGGCAGAAGAAAGAGGAAGAAGAAGUCGGCAGACUGAAAUUUAAAAUUUAAAACGUUUGAUCUGUCUAAUGAAGAACGAGAGGAAGGCGUCCAAAACGAGAUGAACGAGCAAGAAAUUGUAAUGCGUGUGCGACAUCAAGCGUUUUAGGGACUAAACGAACAUUUUACACGUAGCUGACAUCAUCAGAAGGCCAAAAUUCGAGUAUUUUUUUAAGUUGGGCCAAAUUUUGAGUGGGCCUUGAAAAUUGACCCAUCCGUAUGAAUUUUCCGAAAAGGAAAUCGUGAGAUUCACAGUCUUCGCUCAUGUGCGAUAGGAACUUUGAAUGGCAGGGGAAAUUAAACAGCGGCAACGACUUCAAAUUGCAACGACAACAGUGACGGCGUUACCCGAUCAACAGCAAUGACAAUGCUGAUUACCCCGAUGAUAAAGAUUCUGAAGUCGUCGAUCAGAAUAUCCUACUUGAUCUCAUUUUGGUUGCUAGCUAUCUGAACAUCAAGAGCCUACUGGAUCUCACAUGUUAGACUGUGUAGAGGAAAUUUGAAAGACAUGCACUAAAAAUGGUUUUACUGAUAGGAGGUCUGAAGGAAGAAUCAAUGGGCCUUUUGAACAGUAGAUUUAUUUAAUUGGUUCCUUAAUAAUGUUUAUAGAUUUUACACUUUUUGUGAUGCUUUAGAAAUAAUAUAUUUGUCUCUUAUUAUCGAAGAUUAGUAUAUAUAUUUUUUAAAUUCAUUGAUUAUUCCAGCUUCUAAGCGAUAGCACAACGAUGAUGAGUUCUAGGCCACAAUAGGACGAGUUCCCAAAGGGGUAUGGAAUGCUUUAGAUUUGGAAUUUUGUAAUGUUUAAUGUUAUUUUAGUCGAUGUUUUUUUUA